GCAGGUCAGGUUGGGGGACAGUGUGGGUGAGGAUGGGGGUUAGUGUGGGUCAGUUUAGGGUCAGUGCAGGUCAGGUUGGGGGUCAGGUUGGAGGUCAGUGCAGGUCAGGUUAGGGGUCAGCAUGGGGGUUAGUUUGGGUCAGGUUGGGGGUCAGUGUGGGUCAGCUUGGGCGUCAGUACAGGUCAGGUUAGGGGUCAGCAUGGGGGUUAGUUUGGGUCAGGUUGGGGGUCAGUGUGGGUCAGGUUGGGGAUCAGUGUGGGUCAGGUUGGUGGUCAGUGCAGGUCAGCUUGGGGGUUAGUGUGGGUCAGGUUGGGGGUCAGUGUUGUUCAGGUUGGGGGUCAGGUUGGGGGUUAGUGUGGGUCAGCUUGGGUGUCAGUGCAGGUCAGGUUAGGGGUCAGCUUGGGGGUUAGUUUGGGUCAGGUUGGGGGUCAGUGUGGGUCAGGUUGGGGAUCAGUGUGGGUCAGGUUGGGGGUCAGUGCAGGUCAGGUUGGAGGUCAGUGCAGGUCAGGUUGGGGGUCAGGUAGAAGGUCAUCUUGGGGGUUAUUUUGGGUCAGGUUGGGGGUCAGUGUGGGUGAGGAUGGGGGUCAGUCGGGGUCAGGUUGGGGUUCAGUGCAG
ensembl:lncRNA